rnacentral:rRNA from 1 species
CAGUAGCCACGGUAAUACGAAGGGUGCAAGCGUUAAUCGGAAUUACUGGGCGUAAAGCGUGUGUAGGUGGUUGUUUAAGUCUGUCGUGAAAGCCCUGGGCUCAACCUGGGAAUUGCGAUGGAUACUGGGCGACUAGAGUGCGGUAGAGGAUAGUGGAAUUUCCGGUGUAGCAGUGAAAUGCGUAGAGAUCGGAAGGAACAUCUGUGGCGAAGGCGACUAUCUGGGCCAACACUGACACUGAGACACGAAAGCGUGGGGAGCAAACAGGAUUAGAUACCCCAGUAGUCCCUGUCUCUUAUAC